UACGAAGGGGGCUAGCGUUGCUCGGAAUCACUGGGCGUAAAGCGCACGUAGGCGGCUUUCUAAGUCAGGGGUGAAAUCCCGGAGCUCAACUCCGGAACUGCCUUUGAUACUGGAAAGCUUGAGUUCGGGAGAGGUGAGUGGAACUGCGAGUGUAGAGGUGAAAUUCGGUAGAUAUUCGCAAGAACACCAGUGGCGAAAGGCGGCUCACUGGCCCGAUACUGACGCUGAGGUGCGAAAGCGUGGGGAGCAAACAGG
rnacentral:rRNA from 1 species